UAGAGGGUUAAGGCAAGGACAUCCACUCUCGGUCUUAUUGUUUGUGUUAGUGAUGGAUACCUCACCAGAACAGUUAACGCAAUGAGCAACCUUCCUAAGUUUAAAUUUCGUCCUAUGUGUGAGACUUUAAAACUAACUCAUUUAAUAUUUGUAGAUAAUUUAAUGAUAUUUUGCAAAGGGAGAAUUAAUUAUAUCAAGAGAGUAUUGGAGGCUCUGAACCACUUCAGCACAAUGUGACAGGGUUGUAAGCAAAUAUGGAAAAAACUAGCAUAUUCUUGGCAGAAAUGGAUAUGUGAAGAAGGCAGAGAUUGUGACUUACAUUGGUUUCUUAAUAAGAAGUCUUCCUAUUAGAUACCUUGGACUUCCUUUAUCUUCCCAGAAGUGGAGUAAAAUAGAUUGUCACCAACUAGUUGAAAAGGUCACUGCUAGAAUCACCAUUGCUUAGUAUAAAUCAUUAAUACUGUGUUAUUCUCUAUCUAUAACUUUUGGGGGUCUAUUUUCAUAUUAUCCUAGAGUGUGGUAAAGGAGGUUGAUAGUAAAUAUCGAGAGUACUUAUGGGGGAUAAAUGUGGAAUACAAGAAGAUUGCUCUGGCAUCCUGGGAAAAGGUUGUGUUUCAAAGAAAUAUGGAGGUUUGAACAUAAGGAGUUGUCAAUAGUGGAAUAUAGCAGCUGUAGAAAAAUUACUUAGGCAAUUAGCAAAAAAAAAAUAUCCUUUGGGUUAGAUGGGUGCUUGGUCUUUAUAUAAAGAAUGAUGUGCAUAUUUGAGGCCACAUACCACCAGUAGAUAGUAGUUGGUACUGGAAGAAUUUGAACUCCUUAAAGAGUAUAAUGCAAUAAUGGUAUCAAGGGGAUAAAUAUUUGCUCACUCACAAUGGGAAAUAUUCCGUGUCUACUGGUUAUCAAGUAAUGUUAUCGGGAUUUUUGAAGAUGCAGGAAUUUGAGUUAGUAUGGAUAAAAGUCAUGCAACCAAAACACAAAUUCAUAUUAUGGUUGGCAAGCUAGAAUAGACUACUAACAAAAGCGAGAUUAUUGAAACUGAAUAUUCCCGUAGCUGAUGCAACUUGUUGUUUAUGUGAUGAGCCAUCUCUUUGUUGAAUGUAAAUGGAUAUCUAAAGUAAGACACGGAGUGAAGACAUGGUCCAAUCUAUCAAUCUAGUGACUAGGAGCGAAGCAACAUACACAGUGGAUACAAAGAAGACGUUGGAGGAAACUGAAAAAGGAGAUAAUUACAACCUUAUCGGGAGCUAUGAUCUAUACUAUUUGGCAGGUUAGAAAUUGAAAGUUGUCUAGAAAUACCAUGUUAGAACGUUUGUUAUUACACAAAUCCUAUAAGGACUAGACUAGACAUGAUACAAUGCUCUAUGGGAGCACAUAAAUGUAGAGAGUUAGUUCAUAGACUUUGUAGUUAGUCGAUGUGGUUGGUCUUGAUGAGGCUUAAACUGACUAGAGGCAUUCUUCCUAGAAGGUGGUCCUUUUAGUCCUAGGUGCUCUUUUUGCAUAAAUAUUCUUUUGUUACCAAUGAUAAUUUCACAGUUAUUACCAAAAAAAUUAUGAAAAUUUUAUAAACUUCCGUUAUAAUAGAAAUUAAGAAGAUAUACUUUAAUAAAUCUUUUUAUGGAACAACAUGCAAAGUGAUAGUAUGUAUGAAGUCGAAGAUUCAGUCAAUGAAUGUUAUAUUUUGAAUUGAGACCUAAACAUGCUCAUAAGAACUUAUUACCCAAUUUCUCUAUAAUACGUAAUCAGUAUCUUUUUUUAAAAGAAAACUAUAAUUAUUUUUCUUUUUUUUAAAAAAACUUUUUUUAAGUUAGAGUUAAGUAUGAAUUAUCAACAACUUACCCUACCAAUUAGUAAAAUUGAACUCCUAUUCAAGAAGCAUCAAACCCUUUAAACACAAUAUUGAUCGAUAAUGUGCAUUUAUGAGUUGAGUUUCUUUUGUUUUUAAACAAAAAAUUAAAUAGAAAAAAUCGUAAGAAUUUUGUAAUUUAGUAUAUGGUAUAACAUAGACAUGUCACAAAAGUGGAAUUGUUGAAAUAUCUUCAAGACUUUUAAGAGUGAAUAUGAUGAAUAUACAGGUCGACAUGCUACAUGAUUGAUCAAUCUACCAAAUAUUAAAAGGCAAAAAAUCAUUGAAUAGUUAAUUCAUAUAAUUUAUGUAUUCAAAAUUAUUGGCAAUAACUUUACUUAUUUGGUGUCAAACUAACGAAUAAGGUCAAUAUAUACAACUAAUGCAUUUAAAAGCAUGUCCCUGACUUUCUUUGGGAAUUAAUUCAUCUCAUUUUUUUAAUGAAGUGCUGCUAUUUUUUUUCACAUGAUUAAUUAGGAGAAUAGAAAAUAUCUAACUAGACAACAAUGACUAGAAGAUCGAUGAAUUCAAAUCACGAAUGAAGUGUUUCACAAACAUGGUCCUCCCUUUUAAAGUAAUUUUUACUUUUGCAAGAUCUCUAGUCUGGCUAGCUUAGCUGAUUAGAAGUAAAUGAUUUAGAGUUGAUAAUUAGUUUUAAGUUUUGAACUUAUUUUAUAAUAUACAAUUACCUGUUUAAAUAAAAUAAUGAAACUUCAUAAUAUAUAGUUUGUGAGUUUGAUAAAAUAAUAUUAUUAGGCAUUUCUUCUAUUAAAAAGACUGUUGAUCAAGGUGAUUACAGAAGCUAAAUUAUGGUUACUAAUCAUAAUAGUCAUUAGGCAAUAAAACAGUAAAGUAGUUAGUUAUAACUAACUGUACAACUCACCUCUAACCAACUAGUAGUUAGUUACUUAGAUCAAGAUAGGAUCAUUAUAUAUAUCUGAUGUAUUCAUCAUUAUUGAAAGAAUUUGAAUAAUAAUACACUCUCAUUUUACUCUAUAAUCUUCUUCUUUACUACUUCUCCUUCUAGUCUAUGAUUGUUUGAUCUUGUUCAAAUGAUUCAGAGAUACUGAAUCUAUCUAAAUUCUUCAUGGUAUCAAAGCGGGAAGCUCGUGAUAACAUAUUCAUCUUCUCUUUCUUAUCUCGAGUCUAUCUGUGAAAUUAACAGAUAUUCAAUUCUCAUCUCUUUGAUUUCUCUGGGUUUUUGAUUCAUCUGGACAGUUAAGUUCUUAAAAGGUCUGAAGAAAAAGAAAAUCCAAGAACAAUGUUUUUAAGUAAUAAUAACAACAAUCGAUCUACAGAGUUCACAUCUUCUCAUACCUCUAGUAGUGUAUUUGGGAAUUCUUCAGUGAAUACUGGUAAACAACGUGCUAUUGAUCUCAAUCAUCCUCCCUAUCUAACAACUAGUAAUGUAAGUGGUACUUCUAUCAUCUCUACUCAAUUAGUCGGUGGUGAAAAUUACUUGGUAUGGAGUAAAUCUAUGGGAAUUGCUCUCCUAGGAAGAAAUAAAUUGGAAUUUGUUGAUGGUAGUCUGAGUAAAGAUGCUUUCCCAAUUGAGUUGCAUAAUUAGUGGGAGAGGGUGAAUGCUAUAGUCUUAUCUUAGCACAUUAAUCUAGUCUCAAAUAGUCUAGUGGCUGGAGUUGUAUAUGCAUCAAUUGCUAGUGAGGUAUGGACAAAUUUAAGAGAAAGAUUCAAUAAGAUUGAUGGUUCAAGAACCUACAGUAUACAUCAAGAAAUUGCUUCCAUUACUCAAGGAGUGUAAUCUGUGGCUGUGUAUUUUUCAAAAUUGAAAGCAUUAUGGGAUGAGUUUGAGUCAAUGGUGCCUUCCCCUGCAUGUUCAUGUGAAAGGUCUAGGGACUUUAUUUUGUAUUUGCAAAGAUUAAAAUUGUAUCAAUUUUCAAUGGGGUUAAAUGAUACCUAUAGCCAAGCAAGAAGUCAGAUCUUGUUAAUGUCCCCCUUACCCUUGGUAAAGCAAGCUUAUGCAAUAAUUAUAAGUGAUGAAAAUCAGAAGACAAUUUCUCAAUCUCUUAGAAGUGUUGGUCUUCUUGGAGCCACCCCUGAUAUGACUGAUGCAAUUGCAAUAUACUCAAGGGGUGGGAUGCAAAAAAGAAAGAAACAUAAUCCAAAUGUGGUGUGUGUCACUUCAAACUUACAGAAUAUUAUAUGAGAGAUUGUUACAGACUGAUUGGUUAUCCCACAGGACAUCCUAAACAUAAUGAGAAAAGAAAUCUUCAUCAAGGGUAUGGAUCAAAUACUAAUAUCAUCGUUGUUCACUGAUUCUGAAUUAUUUAUGAAUCAUAUUGUUGGUCUAUUGAAUCCUCAAGUGUUUGGUACAAGUUUUUCCCAUUUUGAGUAAUAAUAUGUAUCUGUAUUUUAGUUUUUGUGGUUGCAUGUGUUAUGAAAGUUACUAUUAUGGAGAUUUUUCAUGUAUUGUUGUUUAUUUUCUCUGAUUUUGAAUUAUUGAUUGAGAUUAUAUUUUUAUAUCGGUUCGUGUUUUAGACCUAAAAGAUGAUAUUCCUUUAGCUGGACCCCUUAUGCUAAUUUCUGCCUUCGUCAAUAUUGAAGAGUCAUCGACUCCCAUAUGGUUGAAAAUGGAUGAUCAUUUUCCUUCGGCUAAGAUAUAUUAAAAGAAUAUUCAGUGGUUCAUCAAUGUGGUUUAUUGUGCAAAUGAUUUACUUAUUACUGAUUAUGGGUUCUUACGGGGCCUGGAUGUUCGUCGAUCGCCUUUGGAUUAGCUGAGGAACUUGGACCUUUUCAUAUUGAGAAAGACAAGAAGAUAUUUAACUGGAAUCCAUAUUCUUGGAACUUAGGACGAAGAUGACAGAGGAAACACAAAUGAGGUAUUAUCCAUAUACAUCAGCAAUGGCUGAAUAAAAGUGACAAAGUAUGGUAAGUAUCUUUACUCCAAAUUUUGAUUAAAUGAAUUUAUUUCAACAAGUGAUGGUUGAAUCAGAAGUAGUAUGACAAAAAAAAUACUGUCUCAUAACUGAACAACACUACAGGUUGACUCAGUGACUUAGGGUUUCAACUUCAACUCCUAAGACAUUAUAUUUUUAUUUUUUGAACCAUCUUAAUGAAUAUCCUGGAUUCGUCACCUGAACUUAUUAGACAUGAAAUGCAAAUGUCAUGUUUACUUCGAUUAGUUUUUCUCAACAUUACUGAAUUUGUUUAUUUGUUUUCUUUCAUUACUUUAAAGAUGCAGGGGAAUUACUUCUUCUCCACAAAAGAGUGGAGCACCUUUGCAGCAGAUUAAUUGGGCAAAGUUAAAAGAGAAAGCCAUAGGUUGGAGCUGCACUAUCAAAUCUUCAGUCAAGAAAAAGAAGUGGGUACAAAAAAUUAAUCAAAUGUUUAACAUAUUUUCAAACACUUGGGAGUAAUUAGAGGUUCUUAUGUUGAAUUGGUAACAACAUUUGAUGUUGGACCUAAUUAACGUGUGGAGUGAUGAUACAUCAGUGAGGCUAUUUGUACGCAGCCAGAUUAGUUGUAUUGAUUUAUGAAGGAUUACACAGAUGAAGCAGUUCAUUCUCUUUUACCAUGCCUCUUAUGCUUGAGAUACAUGCAUCUCAGAAGACAAGAUGCUCAAAGAUCCAUGCAAACUUUAUGCCCCAGGUCCCCUCUACCACAUUGUUGAGAGGAAACCUUUCAGGUAUUUUCAGACUGCCUUCGUAUAUGGGUACGCGUCUUUCCAAUAUGAUAAUAUAGGAAAAGGCGCCAACCCUAUAGGUAAGGUUGGUCGUCUACGUCUAUUUCUCUUACUUUUAUUGGGGUUUCCAGAGUUAGAAUGUAAAAAGCCUCAAGAGACGGAGUUCUCAUUAGAUAGGAUGCUACAUGAAAUUAUCUCAAGUUAUUUAUAUGAAAUGACCUGCCCAUUUAUAUGUAAAAAGAUAAGUUUAGACACAAUCCAUUAAAUAAACAAAUUAGAAUAAGCUUUUUUUUUAUGAUGGUGGUGGCUGGGCCAGCUUGCAUACCUUGACUAUUCUUCUGGUUGUCCGCUAUUUUCCACAAACACAGGUACCAGGUAACUCAGUCCACCAAGGUUUGAAUAGAUGAUAAUCACCUAGCAUUUUUUGCCUCUGCUGGGAUCUGAACCAUUUAUUGUACUUUAUAGGUCAAUACUAUUACGUUUCUGUUUUGAGUAAAAGCAUCUAUUCCGGCAGGUUUGGCAUAAAUGUCGCCAUAAUGGUUUGCGUAGUACAAUAUUAUCAAUAGUCAUACCAUUUUGCACUUUAGUCUUUUGUAGUCUACUAUUAGGUGCAUGAUCGCAACCUUAGAUUCCUAUUUUACCAUGUCUGUCCAUUAAAACAGAUGUGGGUGAUUUCCACCUAUUGUAAGGACUGACGUUCCAGUGGAUGGGAGAUUUGAGCACAUUGUUCUCUCUUGUAAUGCUACUUCUGAUCAUGCAAUAAUUUGGACACAGAGAGAAGCAAGAAGUGCUCUCAAAACCGCCUUGGAAGGCACUUAUGGUCUACUUCCAUCAUCAGUAAGAUAGUUUAUCAGUGCAAUCCUUCUUGGCACAAGUUCAUCACUCUUAAGGGUGGUUGAAUACAAGUUGCAGCUCUUUGAGUCUUGAUAAGGAUUUGUUGAUGCAAGAGAUAGAUCAUGUGAUGGAAAUUCCAGCAAAGCAAAGGAUGGAGCGACAAUAGACAUUAGAGCUGUCAAUACGGGUUGGCCCAGCCCAUCUGGGCUAGCCCAUACGGGUUUUGAGUUUGACGGGUCAGGCCGAGCUGGUCCAUUUAAAUGACGGGCCAAAAAACAUCAAGCCCAUUUUUAAAAAAAUAAUAUUUUAUAAUUUUAUUUUAUACUGUUAAUAAAUAUAAAUAUUUAUCACACAACACAUAGUAUUAAUGUUUGUUAAUCAAAAGGGAGCCAGAGCUCGAAUCACCCCAAGUAGGAAGAAAACGAAGAGGUAGGACUACUCAAUCGGAAACAUCACGGUUGAAAGUCGAUGACGCGUUGAGGGAGAUAUAGCGAAGAGGAGGCGGCUAGUUGAACUAAGGAAAUUAGGAAAGUGAAGAGUACCAUGUACUCACUAUGUUUUAGUGGUAGAUAUUUAAUUAUUUUAUUAUUUAUUAGAUAAACUUUUUAGUUUUCAUUUUCUUUGUUAAUGGAACUGGUCAAUGGUCAUCAUUGGACUUGAUUGUUUUUUAACUCUUUUAUUAUUUUUCAGUAUUUUAUUUUAUUUUUAAAUUAUUUAUUAUAUGACUGACGGGUUGGCUCAACCCACAUUUCUCAAGCCUACGGGCCAUGGGCUUAUCUGGGUUGGGCAGGCCGAGCUGGCCCACCGGGCCUUGGCCCAUAUUGACGGCUCUAUCAGACAUUAACUGGAGAGCAGAUUUAAGAUUUGUUUUACACCCUUCUUUCUUGUUCUUAUAAUGGACAACUUAUACUGGAUUCAUCUGUCUCUCUCUCAUCUCAAGUACUGCUCAACAUAUCAUUAUUAAUGCACGGAUGCAACUUCGUUGCCAACAACCGUAUGAAUUCACAUUUUCAGUUUUGACACUUUUAGUACCAACAAAUGUUAUAUCAAUGCAAUACUUUUAAAAUUUGUACAAAUAAGCAAGUCUUACCAAUGUAACAAUGUAAUCUUUGUUCCACAUCAUAUGAAGCAUAACAUUAUAUCAUGUAACAUGACAUGACUUACUAUUUCACAUACUAAUACUAUUUUC